rnacentral:rRNA from 1 species
UACGGAGGGUGCAAGCGUUGUCCGGAUUCAUUGGGUUUAAAGGGUGCGCAGGCGGGACAUUAAGUCAGGGGUGAAAGACGGUUGCUCAACAAUCGCAGUGCCUUUGAUACUGGUGUUCUUGGGUGACCUUGAGGUAGGCGGAAUGGGUGGUGUAGCGGUGAAAUGCAUAGAUACCACCCAGAACUCCGAUUGCGAAGGCAGCCUACUGGAGGUUUACCGACGCUCAGGCACGAAAAGCGUGGGGAGUCAAACAGGA